UACGAAGGGGGCUAGCGUUGUUCGGAAUUACUGGGCGUAAAGGGCGCGUAGGCGGCGUGUCAAGUCAGGCGUGAAAGCCCCGGGCUCAACCUGGGAACCGCGCUUGAGACUGGCAUGCUCGAGUUCGGGAGAGGAUGGUGGAAUUCCCAGUGUAGAGGUGAAAUUCGUAGAUAUUGGGAAGAACACCGAUGGCGAAGGCAGGUCUCUGGGCAUUAACUGACGCUGAGGAGCGAAAGCAUGGGGAGCGAACAGG
rnacentral:rRNA from 1 species